rnacentral:lncRNA from 1 species
CUCCACAUCCAACGGCUGAUGCUGCAGUCUGUACCUUACAGAUUCUGUAAGCUAGUCGAGUCCUAAAAACAUUAUUUGCCUCCCUUCUCUCUGGCAUUUUUGUUCUGAUUAAUUUUGGUUUCAUGAAGUACAAGGAGGAUUGUUCUGAUUUUCAUAAGCCCCAAAAAAAUAGUGAGCUUUUUUUUAAAAAAUUAAUAUUUUUAUAAUAUUCAUGAUUUUUGUUAAUUUUUGUAUGAUCAAUAUAGCUCCAUAUUAAUUCUUGUAAGUUUGAUACUGUUGGUUUUAAUUAGGCUUCACAGUUCACACGAUGAAAGGUGUUCGUUUUGGACUCAAGGUGAGCUUUUUUUUUUUUUUUGGGUGAAAUUUAUCUAUCAUUUUCAUAAUAAUUAAAAAAAAAAAUUAUUCAUUGUUCUUACUCAAACAUGCUAGCUAGCAGUAUUUUUAUUUCUGACUGAUGUAAGGUGAUUUUAUUUUUCCUUACUUGCAACUGAUACUCCAUCAUCAAAGAUAUAAUUAUUAAAGCUAUCACCUUUAUCAUUUUUUUUCGCUAAUUAAUGUAUUAAAGACCAUUUUAUUAAAUAAAGCAUUAUCUGAAAAAAAAAUUAAGCUACAAAUUAAUAACUAUUUAGGUGAUGUGCAUUUAACUUUUCGUGACAUUUUUAAGUCCAAUUAGUAGAAUUUCCAUAACUUAACAAUUGUUACAAAAUAAAUAGCAAUAAUUAAUUUAGUAACAUUCAAGAAAUGCUACACAUUUUUAAGUUCAUUAUAAUGAUCUUUCACCUCUUGAAAUAUCGUGCAGAAAGACUUGUUAAGCCAUCGGAAUUGCAGAAUGAUUUCCCUUUUUGUCUGCCAACUAUUCAAUUAAAAAUGUCUACGGCAGCAUCUAUACAAAAGUUCGCUAAG